CCUACGGGAGGCAGCAGUGGGGAAUUUUGGACAAUGGGCGCAAGCCUGAUCCAGCAAUGCCGCGUGAGUGAAGAAGGCCUUCGGGUUGUAAAGCUCUUUUGUCAGGGAAGAAACGGUGAGAGCUAAUAUCUCUUGCUAAUGACGGUACCUGAAGAAUAAGCACCGGCUAACUACGUGCCAGCAGCCGCGGUAAUACGUAGGGUGCAAGCGUUAAUCGGAAUUACUGGGCGUAAAGCGUGCGCAGGCGGUUUUGUAAGUUUGUCGUGAAAGCCCCGGGCUCAACCUGGGAAUUGCGAUGAAGACUGCAAGGCUUGAAUCUGGCAGAGGGGGGUAGAAUUCCACGUGUAGCAGUGAAAUGCGUAGAGAUGUGGAGGAACACCGAUGGCGAAGGCAGCCCCCUGGGUCAAGAUUGACGCUCAUGCACGAAAGCGUGGGGAGCAAACAGGAUUAGAUACCCUGGUAGUCCACGCCCUAAACGAUGUCUACUAGUUGUCGGGUUUUAAUUAACUUGGUAACGCAGCUAACGCGUGAAGUAGACCGCCUGGGGAGUAACGGUCGCAAAGAUUAAAACUUNAAAAGGAAUUGACGGCGNGAGAGNGCGAGACGACACGAGGGAGGAGG
rnacentral:rRNA from 1 species